UCUCUGUAGCAUAUGUUGUUGACUGAAUCAAGAAAUUUCCUUCUUCAUGUCGCAUAACAACACUAUGAAACCAAGUUGUUUACAGGAGAGCAUCAUAACUUAGAAAACCUAAAAGAUUACUGCUAGCUGCAUGAUUAUCAGAAAAGCCUAACACAAAUUCUAUCACUUGGGAGGCUUCUCAUUGUUUAGCAUUGAUGUUUAGAUCAUUGUUAGAUGGCUCAACUAUUUAGAGUAUUGUUUGCUUAGCAGGUUAAACUGAUACAGUAAAACACAAACUCUGUCAUAUGUUUUACAAAUGCUGAGCCUGACCAAAAUCAGCAUGGAAGGCCAAAUGAUGCCAAAGGAAGUUAUGCAGUAAUGCUCUCCGUGCCAGUUCGGAAAGUAGCAUCAGUUGGCAAUUAUGGAUGUUGUUGUUGCAUGUUGUAUCAAAUUUAUUUGUGUGUAGGCAGUAAUUUGUCAAUGAUAUCUAUGCAUUUUCUGUUCUUAUAUCUUCCACGUACCUCUUAUGUAGAGUACCCUUGGGUGAGGAUAUAGUUGUGGUCUUCCUAUUUUUGGUUGAAGUAAUGAAUUAUGAAGAAUAAAUUUUAAAUUUUAAAUA